GCUGGCGACCAUAGCAAGAGUGAACCACCUGAUCCCUUCCUCCCGAACUCAGAAGUGAAACCUCUUAGCGCUGAUGGUAGUGUGGGAUUACCCAUGUGAGAGUAAGUCAUCGCCAGCU
rnacentral:rRNA from 1 species